AGUUUGCUGAUGCCCUCUUUCAUGAUUUUUUUUCGUGUCCUUCCUCACGGAGUGUUUGAGAUUGUUGCCGCCGCCCUUUCUCCCCUUCCAAGAGCUCUCAUUCCACCGCGUCCGUGUCGCCUCCUCCUCUUGGUCACAAGGCCACCUCCACCUCCUGCGUCAUCACGCUGGACCCUGCCUCCCCGUCUGUCGUGGUAGGGAUGCCGAGAUAGCGCCACAUCCGCUGUGCCGCAUGGCCGUGGCCACAUCGGUGCGACAUGGCCAGCCCACAGGAAAGAAGGUCAACCAGGGUCCAGGGGAUUACGAAGUUCAUACCACUGGUGGUCCCUUGAGAACACUCGAUGAAAUCAUAUGUGCAACUUUGCUGUUUCUACUAGCUCAUGAAUCCUAGAAGCUCUGAUCAAGAGGUAUUCUCUUUAGCACAUGCGUCCGUUUUACUAGCAGUUUGAUGGAUUCACUGCUUGAAUAAUAUUAUUUGGAUAUUUCUCAUGAAAAUAUGUCUGGGGUUUGAGGUUAUAAUGUUUAAUGGAAUGAAUAUUUAGUUCCCAAAAUUAUUUUACUUUGAUAAUAUUUGCUCAAGAUGCAUGCUCUGAACACAGAGAUAGUUACUCUUUGCAAGCAAUGCUACUACAGGUUGAAAGCUACACAUGAAUACAGUUUUAUGGGAAGAUGCAAUUUUCUUUCCAGGAUAAUCCUGGAAAUUUGGUAUCUAGGUUGUUUUGGACACCGACCAAACAUAACAUAUCCUGUAAGGCCCACCUCUGUUUUAGGAUGAUUAUGAUUUACUUGUGUCUCAAGUAGUUGUAACUUCAUUUUUAAAGCUUUCCCUGUUGUUAAAUCCAUUGACAGCCAUCCUUAGUUAAAUUUUGGUUAAAUGUAGGGCCUACGUUUAAUGUCUUGCCCAUCUAGAAUAGUGUAUCUGUAUUAUUUUGCUGUGUAAGAAUUGAUAGAUGAAAAGUUUCUACUCCUGGAGUAUAUGUAUCUGUCUAGCAUUUAUUGAAUGGAUGUAUUGCUGUAAGGCUCACCUGUUUUUAGGUUUCUUCAUGAUUUAUCAGUGUCCGGUAUCCCAAACAGUAGUGGGUUCAGUUUGUGAUAAGAACAUCUUGGCCAUGAUUAGGAUUUAGAAGAGAGUUCUUGUUUCAGAUCCUGAUUUCCUCGUUGUUACUUAUGUACUCUUACUAUAAUUUGAGCUGUUGCUUUGUUCUGCCAAGUUCCACUGUCAUUUUCCAUGUAUGGUGUUUUGAUACCAGCUCCCAUAUGUAUUGAGUUCUGAUGACUUUCUGCGCUAAUAUUUGUCCUGAACUCUCGAUAGAAAUUACACGUGCCUUUUUAACUGUUUCCUCUAAUUCUGAUUAUUUGGGUUAAAAAGUUGUAUAUAAGAACUUCAAGAAUAGCUAGCUACAGGUUGCAAUGACAAAAUAAUAUUUCGAAGUUUGUUUCAGAUUACGAGAAAGCUUGCUCAUGGAACUGCUGGUAGGACAGGUUUUGUGCCCACAUCAAACAACCCAUUACCCAGGUGUGUGAAUUUAUAUUAUUUUGUCUUUUAUCUUCAACUCUGGCUAUUAUUAGAUAAUUUUGCAACAAACUGUUUGUAACAUUGAAGAAAACUAUUAACAAUUCUGAUCAAUGACACAUGAUUUAUUUCUUGGCAAGUAGUUGUCGAGUUUUUUCUAAAAUGAAAUAUGCACUAGCGCUGCUUCAUGAUCUAUUUUUUGAUGGUUUGACCCCUUAUUUAGAUAACUGAUAUGGAUUAUUUGAGGAAGUAAUCCUUUUAACCACUCUUAAAAUAAUAUGGUGUACACAUUUUGAAGAAAUGAUGUCAUGUAUUUGUUCGUUUCGUAGAAGAUAAGUUUAUCUAAAUAACGAUGUGUGCGGGAAGCCUCUUAUGAAUGGCUGACUGGCUGCAUGAUGUUGUUGGCAACCUACGGUCACAAUACUUGCAUCAGACCAAGAAUGGAAACACACUUAUAUAUUUUCAAGAUUCUGUUUGUAGGUGUUGUUGCCCAUUGCAAACUUUGCUAUUUAGGAACUAAUAAUCAUACUGCAUGCUUAAUUGCUUCAGCUUUUUCUGGCUUUGUAAAGAGCUUAUUGUGCUUAAAUUAUCUGUUGCUUUAUCCUUCCAAUUACUGUUAUCCGGAUCUUCAAUUCUAUUUUAUACUACUAAUUUUCAGACUAUUAAAUAAUAGUAAGCAGUAAAAAUCAUCUUAUGGCUUAAUCAAAUGAAGUCAUUUAUUGGCAUGAGACAUGCAUACAUACACUACUUUCUCUUUUACAGGGUUCUAGCAUAUAAUGUGCAUACAUACAAUUCUGGUUGCAUAUUCUUUGAUCCAAGUUACUAAUUUAAUAUACACAGACCGGAAUUUUGGUAAGGGUAUGCACAUGAUAUUCUAGAACGUCACAUUUAUAAGAAAACUUUGAAGCUUAUAAACAUAUCAUCUUUUCUGGCACUUCACAUCUCAGCGGCACUGUAAGAGUAAGAUAAAGGUGUUUCUCUUCCAAGUUUAUGAUUCUAACUUCUGUGCUUUCACGCUUUUACAUAUAUUUACAAGUUCUUAUUUUGUUCUUUGGCAGUUACUGCACUACAUGUGUACUGGUAGGCACUUCACCAUGUCGCCAAAAUCUGAAGUGUAGUUUUACCGUUGUAUGUGAAGAGAAUUAUUUAUUGAAUUUGUUUUUUAGUCCAGCGCCCGUUGUUCUAUGGUUAAUAUACUCAUUUUGAUAUGUUCUUGAAGGGGAUAAUACUUGGAAGAACCUUGUCUUAGGGUGAAAACUUGCAAUUUACCUGUUUUGGGAAUUUUAAUCCCUAUGGAUGUUGUAUUUGUAAUUGAAUACCCUGUAUCAAAUCCAAAAGUGUUUAAGGCCAGAAUCGAGAUGAGUAUUUGUGGCUUAUU